rnacentral:tRNA from 1 species
GCGCCCGUAGCCCAAUCGGGAGAGGCAACAGGUUUAGGUCCUGUCCAGUGAGAGUUCGAAUCUCUCCGGGCGCA